rnacentral:lncRNA from 1 species
AAACCAAUCAGCAUGAAAUGUCUGUGAAGUCCAAUGAACAAAGCAACAAAUAGUGAUCAUCUAUUGAACACAGAUGAAAGAUUCAUCUCAAGGACAGUCUUCCUUAGAAUCUGAUUACAUGAAGAUUAUUGUAAAGUUUUUGAAGAUGUCAUCCUCCCAUCUGUUUUUGUUUUAAUGAUCUUAGAGACCAAAACACUGCCCACUACAAAAUCAC